rnacentral:rRNA from 1 species
UACAGGGGGUGCAAACGUUGCUCGGAAUCAUUGGGCGUAAAGCGCACGUAGGCGGUUCGUUAUGUCGGAUGUGAAAGCCCUUGGCUUAACCGAGGAAGUGCAUCCGAAACUGGCGAGCUAGAGUACGAAAGAGGAUCGCGGAAUUCCCGGUGUAGAGGUGAAAUUCGUAGAUAUCGGGAGGAACACCGGUGGCGAAGGCGGCGAUCUGGGUCGAUACUGACGCUGAGGUGCGAAAGCGUGGGGGGCAAACAGG